UACAGAGGUGGCAAGCGUUGUUCGGAAUUACUGGGCGUAAAGGGCGCGUAGGCGGCCUUCUAAGUCAGACGUGAAAUCCCCCGGCUUAACCUGGGAACUGCGUCUGAUACUGGAUGGCUUGAGUUUGGGAGAGGGAUGCGGAAUUCCAGGUGUAGCGGUGAAAUGCGUAGAUAUCUGGAGGAACACCGGUGGCGAAGGCGGCAUCCUGGACCAACACUGACGCUGAGUGAGCGAAAGCCAGGGGAGCAAACGGGG
rnacentral:rRNA from 1 species